GACGAACGCUGGCGGCGUGCUUAACACAUGCAAGUCGAACGAAGUGGCGAACGGGUGAGUAACGCGUAAUCAACCUGCCCUUCAGAGGGGGACAACAGUUGGAAACGACUGCUAAUCCCGCAUACUGAAGGAGUGGAUUGCGCCUGAUUAGCUAGUUGGAGGGGUAACGGCCUACCAAGGCGAUGAUCAGUAACCGGGGUGGGAGGAGGAACAGGCAAAAUGGGACUGAGACACGGCCCAGACUACCACGGGAGGCAGCAGUGGGGAUUCUUCCGAAAUGGGCGAAAGUCUGACGGAGCAACGCGGCGUGAGGGAUGACGGCCGUCGGGUUGUAAAGCUCUGUUAAUCGGGACGCGGUACCGGAAUAGAAAGCCACGGCUAACUACGUGACAGCCGCCGCGGUAAUAC
rnacentral:rRNA from 1 species